rnacentral:lncRNA from 1 species
GUGGUGGUAAAGGAAUAAAUGGAACCGUGGUUAGCAUGAGGUUGAUAACUAUGGAAGCUGGGAUAUGGGAGUUUAAUAUGCAGUUCUCUUUACUUUUAGAGGCAUUUGAGAUUUUCAAUAACAAAAACUGUUUUUAAAAAACCCUAUUUCUUCUCGGCCCCACCCUCCCCGCAGCGUUCCCGCCAUCUUUAGCGCCAGAGGAUCUUCUCCGCCUCGCCCUCUCCUGCAGUCUGUGUUCCCACCAUCUUCAGUGCCAGAGGGUCUUCUCCACUGGGCCCUCUCCUGCAAGCUGCAUUCCGCCAUCUUCAGCACCAGAGGGUCUUCUCGGCCUGGCACUGCCCUGCUGGCACUGCUGCUGCCAUCUUCGGUGCUAGAAAGGUGAGUCAGUUUGAGGAGGAGAAAAGAAAAUAUCAAAAGCGUGAGUUGCUGAGAUGGAACCUUCUCCCCGCUGCUAAAACUGUGCACUGAUGCUGUGUCUGAC